GACUCCUGGAGAAAUGGUGGGCGGUCCAAACGGUGAGCAGCACGCUCCUUACUUAGGUCAUGACCUCUGCCGACUAAAAAGGCUAAACUCAGCGUGGAUUAGGGCUAUACCAGGAACCAGAAUUUGAUGAGUAAAUGGCAGAUUCUAGAAUCUAGGGCAAAAAGUUUACAAGAUAAGCCUGGAACAUCUUGUCCUACCAGAAAGUCUGGGAUUCUUCAUUUUAAACAAGUUCUGAACAACUGACUUUCCUCUAGAGGAUUUGAACUGUAGGAGGCUUGAAGUUGAACAAUGGAACUCUCAGUACCAACUUCCCUUUACAGUCUGAUCUCAGAAAUCUGACAGCCAGUUGUAUUCCCCCAGACCCUCUACCUUCACCUGUAAGUCUAAGUGGCAGGAAUUUCGCAACUCCAAAAAGUGAUGCCGAAAAAUAUUGGAGCAAUGUCUUCAAAAUCGUAAGAGUAUACACCCAACCAAACUGUUAAUCAAGUAGCAUAAAGGGUAGAAUAAAGAUUUUUCCCUGGCCAGGUGUGGUAGCUCACACCUGUGAUCCCAGAACUUUGGGAGACCAAGGCUGGAAGAUUGCUUGAGCCGAGGAGUUUGGGACCAGCCUGGGCAACAUAGGAAGAUUCUGUCUCCACAAAAUUUUAAAAAAUUAGCUGAGCAUAGUGGCAUGCACCUGUGGUCCCAGCUACUCAUAGGGUGAGGCGUGAGGAUCGCUUUAAUCCGGGAAGUCAAAGUUGCAGUGAGCCACGAUGGUGCCACUGCACUCCAGCCUGGGUGACAAAGCAAGACCUUGUCUAAAAAAAAAAAAAAAAACGUAUUUAUCAACCAUGGAAGUCCUCAAAACAUUUGCCUUCUUAGGAAGCAAGUAGAAGAUAUACUUUAACCAAAAUAAGGGGAUAAACCAAGAAUCAUAAGGACACUGAAUUCAGGAAACAGGGAUUAGAACACGGGAGACCUGCAAAAGGAUAUUCAGGAUGCAACUACACAAUCAGGCCUAGAACGCAGCUGACAGAGAUCGAUCGGGACACGGGCUCAGGAUGGAGGACUGUAGGUUAAAAAAAAAAUGGAACUCAUAUAUCUUCUGAGUUUUUGAAUCUUAUGUGCAUUCAGAAACCUACAAAGAGUCUGUGAGUAGUCCUCCGACCUUCCAUUUCUUUUUACUUUCGUUGGCCCUGUGUAAAACAAAUGUCAUUAUACUUUUUCUCUGUUUAUGUUUUCAUUUUUCAUAUAAGAAAUAUAAUUUUCUUUUAGGAAUUAUAUAAUUAAAAAAUUACCAGCGAUUGAAGUAAUUAGCACAUAGUUUUCAUAUUACCAUCUGAGUUACUUUCCAUAUGACCUAAUUAAAAAAUAAAAAACAACAAACAAAAAAAGGCCCUACUAACAUUUAUAUACAAAAAGGUAGGAAAUUUCGUUGCAUUUUCUUUACAGAUAUUUUUGAAAUUUACUACAUUAUUCUUUAGAUUGUUCACUAACUUAGCUAAUUGGAAGGACUGAUUUUCCAUUUUUGUGGGGAAAAAACCCAAUAACCACCAUUUACAGGGAAGAAUUUUCACUAGGCAAUGUCUUAAAAUAAUUUUGAAGUGUAUUUAUUUACGUCUCAAAUAUGAUUUCUUUCUAAAAUGUUCAAAGUCUCAUUUCCACAGCUGCAAUUAAGUGAGACUUUUUAGGAUAAUGUUUCAUUUGGCUGUAUUAUGUUAAUAAUCAGCUAGAUGAUAUAUAUCUUUUUCAUCUUUAUGUACUCAUGAAUUAUUCAGAAGUGUCUCUUGCAAAUGAAGAGUAGAGGAAUUCAGUUUCUCUUCCCCAAAAAGGGUCAGACAUGCUGUAGUUUAGAAGCAGGUGGGUGGUUCUUUCCUCUCUCUUUUUAAAAGUGAUUUAAAAUAUAUUAAAGUGAACAGUGAAUUACUUAAAUAUCCAAUAAUGAGAAAAUGGUCAAGUAAACUGUGAUACAUCUACUUGACAAAAUGACACAACUAUCAGAAACUAAUGGUUGGAAAGACAACAUAGCUGUAUAGAAAAAUGUUUGUGUCAAAAAAGUAAGUGGAAAAAAGCAAGAUAUAAAAAUAUAUGUAUACUACAAUUACUGUUUAAAAAUAGUCAUAGGAAAAAAUCCAGAAGAAAAUACAGUAAAAUAAUAAUCAUGAUCAUAAAAGGACUAUAGGUGACUUAGUUUUUCUCUAUAUUUUUUGAUUUUCCCCUAAAAUCCUGUAGGGGAUUUUAGGAUGAGAAGAGACAAAACAAACCAACAAACACUUAUUGAGUGACUAGUGUUUGCUAGAAGCUGGGCUGUGUACUGAGGAUAAAAAGCUGAAAAGAUAUGCUUAGUGAUACAUAAUACAUCAGGUUUUCCCUGGCAAUACCAAAAUCACUGGUAUAUAAUUGAUGCAAAUUAAUUACUAGUGUGUAAUUAAAAUAAAUUUCAUCUGGAUUUUAUUAAGAUGAAAUAUAAUUAACUUCAUUAAAUGCUUAGUAGGUGCUUUUCAUGUGUCCAUCUAAUCCACUCAACAAUCAUAUGAGGAAGAUAAUUCUCUUCUUACCAUCAGGAAUCUAGGUCUCAGAGAGGCUAUGCAACUUGUCCAAAGUGGCAUAAUUAAUAAGAUAUUGAGCCUAGCUUGAUUUAGAAGUCUAUAUUCAAUAUUUUAACAGCAAUUUAUUAAGCACUGACUUAAUAAGUUGUUAUAGAUUAGGAAAUUGUUCUAGGUAAGAGAUACUGAAACGGACAAAGCAAAGUCUUUGCCUUCGUGGAGCUUACAUUCCAGUGCAAGGCGACAUAAUCAAAAAGAAAUGUCAAAUGAUAUAUUAGAAGCUAAAAAGUGCUACAUAGACAAAUAAAGCAGAGAAAGGGGACAAGCAUGCACGGUAGGAAGGGGGGAUUGCAAUUCUAAAUAGGGUGAUCGGGAAAACCUUGCUAAGAAAGCAGUGUUUCAGUAGAGGCCUAAUAGCGGUGAGGAAAUGAUCUAACUCUGAGAGAGGUCAUUUCUGGCAGAGAGAGCAGUAAGAGUAAAGGCCUUGAGAUGGGGGCACACCUAGAGGAAGAGUAAGAACAGCAUGGUUAGAGCUGAUGGGGCAGUAGGGAGAGUGGAGCAAAAUGAGAUAAAGGAAAAUAGCAAGGAGUCAGGCACUUUGGGCAUUGUAAAGCAUUGUAAAGACAGAGGUCACUGGAGGGUUUUAAGCAGAGGAGUUGCUAUAACUGAUUUGGUUUUCAAUGGAUCCUGGCUGCAAUGUGCAGAAAAUCCUGUAGGGGAUUUUCCGUAGGGGAUUUUCCACCAAGAUGGAAGCAGGAGACCCUUUAGGAGACUUAGUAGUGACAGAUGAUGGUUGAUUGUGGCAGAGUUGGAGUAGAGGACUGUCAAAAACUGUGGGGACUUACUUAGCUGGGUGUGGUAAGUGCCUGUUGUCCCAGCUACUCUGGGAGGCUGAGGCAGGAGGAUAGCUUGAGCCUGGGAGGCAGAGGUUGCAGUUAGCUGAGAUCGUGCCACUCCAUUCCAGUCUGGGCAACAGAGACAGACCCUGUCUUAG